rnacentral:lncRNA from 1 species
GUCUGAAUUUCUAGAUCGAAAGUCAUGCAAAGCCAUGGGACCAUGGAAAUCACACCCAACUGCAAUGGCAAUUUCCUUUGCUUUCAGCCAUGUGAGCUGGCGGACACUUGCAGCUUUUCCUAAUCAUAAGAAAGCAGCAAGAAAAUAGGAAUGCCGAGACACCAAACAUCCUCAACAAAGAUCCAUAGUCAGCACAAAAGUGACUUGAAGAUCCAUACGCAGCUGACAGACCAUCUGUUUCCCAUGUCUGCUCUAUAUCUUCUGAUUAAAAAUGAAGCAAAAUGAAAGGAAAAGGUUUUGCUCAGAUUAUACACCCGGCUCCAAUCAAAAUGCAUACUGCUAACUUGAUUUUGCCCAAGCCACCCAUCCCUCUGAAGGGCAGGGAGUUCUCUAAGGACUACUCAAACAACUGGGCAACCAGUCCAGAAGAUCAGCUCUUUUACUAAGAGGUUCCCUUUAGAAAAGAGUGAGCAACGUGAAUCCCUCUGGAUAUCUUUGGACUUCAGCUCUCAUCAGUCUUAGCCAGCUUAACCAAUGGUAUGAAAUGCAGGGUGCUGCUGGAGUCCAAAAUGAUCAGGAGGGCUAAAUUUGGACCACCAUAAUUUUUACAGUGCUACAUCGUGCUACUGCAUUAAUAUUAAAUUCAACUCAAUGGGUUGGAUCCAAACUUAGUUGUACUUAGAUCAGAACCACUGGAAGCAGGGAGAUAUGUUAAUUAUGGCUAGCCUAAACUCACAUUGAUUUCAGUAGGUCUACUCUAAAUAUUCUGGAUCCAACCCGAUAACUUUAAACACAUUUAGGCUGACUACAGUUUACAUUCAGGAUGCUCUGCAUUGAUCCCCUUAACUGAUUCUAGCAAAAAGUCAGGGUAUAGCCAUCCAGGUGGUCCAUAUGUCCAAAACCAUAUGCUUCAUCUCAGCUGUGAGCCUAAUUGCAAAGAUCCAUUGCAAGGGAAACAAGGAGAAUUAGUCAUCUCUAUCUGAUUAAUAUGCAGAAGACAUUCAUCAAGUCUGAACUUCUCUAGAAGUUUUCCAAAUUUAGGCCUCCCAAGCCUAAAUGCAAUAAAAUGCAUCUACUAAAGGAAAUGCA